rnacentral:rRNA from 1 species
GAGGGGGGUGCAAACGUUGUUCGGAAUUACUGGGUGUAAAGGGUGCGUAGACGGGUUCACCAAGCUCGUUGUUAAAUCCUCCGGGCCUAACCGGAGAUAUGCAAUGGGAACUGGUGGGCUAGAGGAUAGAAGAGAGAAGUGGAAUUCCCGGAGUAGCGGUAAAAUGCGUAGAUCUCGGGAGGAACACCGAUGGCGAAGGCAGCUUCUUGGUCUAUUCCUGACGUUGAGGCACGAAAGCGUGGGGAGCAAACAGGAUUAGAUACCCUGGUAGUCCACGCCGUAAACGAUGAUCACUGGACGUUGGGCCGGCUUUGCUGGCUUGGUGUCGUAGCUAACGCGUUAAGUGAUCCACCUGGGGAGUACGGUCGCAAGAUUA